GAUGAACGCUGGCGGCGUGCUUAACACAUGCAAGUCGAACGAACCUUCGGGUUAGUGGCGGGCGGGUGAGUAACGCGUGGGAAUCUGCCCUCAGGAGGGGGAUAACGGUUGGAAACGGCCGCUAAUACCCCAUAUGCCGAGAGGUGAAAUGAAUUUCGCCUGAGGAUGAGCCCGCGUCUGAUUAGCUAGUUGGUGAGGUAAGAGCUCACCAAGGCAUCGAUCAGUAGCUGGUCUGAGAGGAUGAUCAGCCACACUGGGACUGAGACACGGCCCAGACUCCUACGGGAGGCAGCAGUGGGGAAUUUUCCGCAAUGGGCGAAAGCCUGACGGAGCAACGCCGCGUGAGGGAUGAAGGCCUCUGGGCUGUAAACCUCUUUUAUCAAGGAAGAAGAUCUGACGGUACUUGAUGAAUAAGCCACGGCUAAUUCCGUG
rnacentral:rRNA from 1 species